GUUGGGUUGGGUUGCUGGGAUUUCACUUCAUCUCAGAUACUCAUCCUCAUACAUUAUGGAAAUCAAAGCUUCAUUUCUUUCGAAACUAAGCUCUGCAAAUCCCUUGUGAAGACUGAGUCAGGGCUUCUAAUCAUUAGACUGAUGUGUGUUUGGACAUAAUGACAUAACAUUACCUUCAUCCAGUAUUCACCUAGAUUUCCUUUCCUCAGUUUGGGUCUGUACUUUAUUCCAGAUAGACAAUGGCUCAAGUCCUUUUUCACUAUGGGGCUUUUGGGUGUGCACAGGAGAAUACCACAAAAGGGCUUUUUGUUGGAUCACCCAAACACAUCAGGAGUUAAUUCAGUCGUCGUGUUAGCUCUGAUAUGAUGGUAGAUGUAUUGUUGACCUACUCGUUGUGGGCUGCCAUGUACAUGUCGGCUUGUUUUCUGAGUGAAGGUUAGAUCAGCCAUUGGCCUUUGAUAGCUCUGACAUCACCUUUGCAGCUAUAUCCCAUGCUUUUGUGGUGUGUAUAUACUGUAUGUGUGCACAUUGACGGAACCGCAUAUUGAUGUUUUCCUGUUCUUUCAAGUUUGGCGUGCUCAUUUAGAUUCCAUCAACAUGAUGUACCCAUGAGCCAGGGUAUAUACAAUGAUGUUUUCAAAGUCAAAGUCAAAGUGUUUAUUGUCGCAUACACCAAAUUUCUUCAGCGCAGCGAAAUUCUUAUGACUUGGCAGCCAACAUCUACGCAGUAGACGGCAUACAACAGGUAACACAAAUAACAUAUACCAAAAUAACAUACCAGAAAUAACAUAUAACAUAUAACAAAUAACAUAUAACAAGUAACAACAGUUUAAAAUACAAGAAGGGCAGUUUCCAGGGUGGGGAAUAUUAAAUUAAAUAAGAUAAAAAAUGUGGGUUUAUAUAUAUAUAUGUAGCAAGUGUAUUUGUAUGGGUGUGAAGUACAAGGUGAUGGCGACUGUUCAGUGUUGCUGAUUCAGCAGCCUAACAGCCUGGGGGUAAAAACUGUUUGUGAGUCUGGUAGUCUGUGCUCGAAUGCUCCGGUAGCGUCUACCAGACGGCAGCAGUGUGAAUAGACCAUAGCCUGGGUGGCUGUGGUCCUUGACAAUGUUCCGUGCUCUUGCCAGUCCAGUGUCCAAAAAAUGUAUUUAACCUUAAUUCGAAACAUACUGUAGCAUGUUUCAAUAACAAUCUACGGUAUGAUACAAACGCAAAUAUAACGUAGCCUAUAUAAUGUCCACCUAGGUUGACAAAAGAAUGACCUCCUCAAAUCAGUUCCCCCCCAAUGCAUUGUUUGCUUGGUUGUUGUGGAACCAUAUUUCGUUCAUAACCAAUACUGUUAUAUCCUCCAACUACACAAGGUUAUUAUCAAAGAAUACUGUUAUAUCCUCCAACUACACAAGGUUAUUAUCAAAGAAUACUGUUAUAUCCUCCAACUACACAAGGUUAUUAUCAAAGAAUACUGUUAUAUCCUCCAACUACACAAGGUUAUUAUCAAAGAAUACUGUUAUAUCCUCCAACUACACAAGGUUAUUAUCAAAGCGAUGGCACUACAAGACCAGAUCAAUCUCUUAUUUCCUCAGCAACAUGUGGUAUGGGAGAACAGAACUGGCCCAGUCAAGUGAAUAAUACUAAGCCUUCUUCAGGUUGCUGGGAGCAUGUAUUAGGUACACGCUGGUAUUACAGUCAUGGUAUAGGCUAUCAAACUAACGCAAAGAGACGCUGAUAUUUCCGAUCGUAGAAAUGGAACCUAAACACCAUGAUGUGUCUGACAAUCAAAAUAAGAUGUUCUAUUGCAGACGGGGUGAAGGCUUUGAAGGGCAGACUUCAGACUGAAGCUUCAGAGAAUGAAAUGUGAUUGGAUAGAAUCAGUCUUCUCCCCACACUGUCUAUUGGGAGUAGGAAACCGUCGGAUUUUGUGACUCGCAUUACAGUAAUCAAUAAAUAAAAUCAUAACAAGAUAUAUAGUAACGUUAUUGAUUUAUUUGCUUUGGUUAAAACACAAAUAAAGGAUAUCUUUGAUGUGUUUUGUGAGCAUUGUUACUAGACAUUUUGGUAAGUUUUUAAUGUAUCAUAUUUUAUUUUAUCAAAAAACCGGUAAAUACCAGCUAACAGAAAGCCUGCCAUGAACAAUGGGAGUGUUUUGAAAGAAGUAGGGUUCUGAAAAAGCCCAGGGAAAACAGUAAGCCCUUGGGGAUUAGUGAGCAUUUGUUUGUCUUGGCUCUUGAUUGAUAUUCCUGACUGCUGUUUGUUCCACAGAGUCUCCACUGCAGUUCUAUGUGAACCAUGCCAGCAGCCCCCACGUGACUGCCUAUGGGCCAGGCCUGGUGUAUGGGGUCGUCAACAAGACUGCCACCUUCACCAUCUUCACAGAGGACGCCUCUGAGGGUGAGAGCGUGGGCUUGCUUCACAACUGAACAAAGACCCAGUCAUUACUUUUUAAAGCUUGCAUCAUAACAUCUGGAGCUCGUCCAACUAAUCCAGCAUCAAUAACAACUGAGUGACUGUAAUGUCAUCUGUGGCAGAUUUUAAAACCAUUGUUAUUCACUUCUGCAGACAAGUCAUAUCAUUUUGCAUGAUGUCAGUCUUGGGAGAAUUGAGGAAGUUUCCUUCAGAGGCCCUAAUGGUUGUCACUUGUUGUCUGUUUAAAUGCUUAGGUGGUUUGGAUUUAGCUAUUGAGGGUCCCUCCAAAGCUGAAAUAAGCUGUGUGGACAAUAAAGAUGGCACCUGUACGGUCACUUACCUUCCCACGCUGCCUGGUGACUACAACAUCUUGGUGCGUUACAAUGACAAGCACAUUCCUGGGAGCCCCUUCACUGCCCGUGUCACAGGUGAGUCCAAAUGAAUGAUCAUUUUUAUAGGCUGUAAUGUCAUUGAACUGAAUCAACUCAAUGUACUGGUACGCCACACAGAAUACUUCAAUGAUUGAUUCCUUCAUGAAAGUGUUCCAAAAGAUCAAAUCAUCUCCAUCCGUAACCUAC
ensembl:lncRNA